CCCAAGCAAACCAACACCCUUCUCCCAUUUUGGAAGCACAUACAAUGGCGGGCACAAGCACGAACACGCAAAGCACCGGGACAAGUCAGACAAUAGUAGUGGGACCAUGGGGAGGGCUUGGUGGUGGUGCUUGGGACGAUGGGUCCUAUACUGGAAUUCAAGAAAUCUGAUUUAUGAUUUGAAUGGCCAGCCCUUUACAGGACCCAAACAUCCAGGAAACGAACCCUCUUAUGCAACGGUGAAGAGGGUUUGUUUCCUGGAUGUUCGGACACUGGAAAGGGCUGGCCAUUCAAAUCAUAAACAAGAAAAAUGGCCUCAAUGGUAUCACCAUGAAAAAGCUCGAUUUCUCGAAUUCCAGUAUAGGACCCAUCGUCCCAAGCAUCACCAUAGAAAUAUAUUGGUACAAUAUAUAUACUGUAUAUAUAAUUGAUAUAUAUGACAUAAUAUGGUAUAUAUGGAGUCUUCCAAAUGUGUGUUAGAGCUUGCCUAUGCUCCUCUUUUAGAGGACUGUACCUCCACAUAACAUAUAGAAAUCAUAAAUCUCGCAAGAUCACUUACGUUGUAAAGAUGUAAUAAUAGCAGAUAACUAAUUUUUUUCGUGUUACACCUUUCAAAAAAUGACGUUGAAUAAAUUGCAUGCGAUAAGAAAAAAGUAACGUGCACAGUACGGGCCGGAGAAUCAUAAGAAAAAAGUUUAUAUAUGUACUUGUAUAUAUAUAUACACACAUAUAUAUAACUAAUAGCACACUCAUUUUUACACGUAGAGGACCUCACCAUUGUAUGUGCUUUCGAAAUGGGAGAAGGGUGUUGGUUUGCUUGGGUGACUAACUAGCUUAAUAUUAUAUAGUGAUUCCAGCACCUAAUUAUUAAUCACAUUAUUCUCGUGGUUUUGCGAGUCCCACCUAAAGAAAUGAAACAGAUGAGCACAGGUGGUCGACAAGGGAACGGCAGCUUUAAGUUCCCACCAAAUUAUCCGGGGUUUACUGCCUGGUUUUGCAGCACGAGUACAAUGUUUUACUGCUUCUCGGUAGAUGAAUCUUGUUGAAAAUGAGCACAAUUAGGAUAUGUUUGGGAGCCGCUGUCUUACCCGAGUUCCCUACAACACGAACAAAUGGGAUGAGUUUUCGCUCAACAAGUAACAGCAGACCGCAACAAGUGCAAUCAGUAAUGCAUACCCAUAUAUGCAUUCAUGUCAUGCACCCUAGCUUAUUUUCUAAACAU